UACGUAGGGGGCUAGCGUUAUCCGGAAUUACUGGGCGUAAAGGGUGCGUAGGUGGUUUCUUAAGUCAGAGGUGAAAGGCUACGGCUCAACCGUAGUAAGCCUUUGAAACUGGGAAACUUGAGUGCAGGAGAGGAGAGUGGAAUUCCUAGUGUAGCGGUGAAAUGCGUAGAUAUUAGGAGGAACACCAGUUGCGAAGGCGGCUCUCCGGACUGUAACUGACACUGAGGCACGAAAGCGUGGGGAGCAAACAGG
rnacentral:rRNA from 1 species